GGCGCAGUUAACGCGAUAAGUCGACCGCCUGGGGGUACGGCCGCAAGGUUAAAAACUCAAAUGAAAUUGACGGGGGCCCGCACAAGCGGUGGAGCCUGUGGUUUAAUUCGAUGCAACGCGAAGGACCUUACCUACCCUUGACAUCCUGCGAACCCGGAAGAGAUUCCGGGGUGCCUUCGGGAGCGCAGAGACAGGUGCUGCAUGGCUGUCGUCAGCUCGUGUUGUGAAAUGUUGGGUUAAGUCCCGUAACGAGCGCAACCCUUGUCCCUAUUUGCCAGCGAUUCGGUCGGGAACUCUAGGGAGACUGCCGGUGACAAACCGGAGGAAGGUGGGGACGACGUCAAGUCAUCAUGGCCCUUACGGGUAGGGCUACACACGUGCUACAAUGGCCGGUACAAAGGGUUGCGAAGCCGCGAGGUGAAGCCAAUCCCAGAAAGCCGGCCUCAGUCCGGAUUGGAGUCUGCAACUCGACUCCAUGAAGUCGGAAUCGCUAGUAAUCGUGCAUCAGAAUGGCACGGUGAAUACGUUCCCGGGCCUUGUACACACCGCCCGUCACACCAUGGGAGUGUACUGCACCAGAAGUGGUUAGCCUAACUUCGGAGGGCG
rnacentral:rRNA from 1 species